rnacentral:lncRNA from 1 species
CUUACUUUACCUGCUCAUCUUCGUGGAAUUAAGAUAAUUGGUGCCUUAUUUUAUCGUGAAGGUGAACAUGCCUAGUUAAUUAAUUUAAGGUUUAAAUCUCUUUUGGUAUCUUAAGUAUUUAUUUGGUAUCGUUUUGGUCCCUUAACUAAAAAAAAGAUUGUUUGAGUAUUUUAAUUUAAUUUUCAUUAUAUUUUUUGGUCCCUUCCGUUAGGUUUAAUAAAAAACGUUAAGUGUGGUACACGUGUCGUUUUGGCAUUGGCUCUGGAAACAUUAAGGGACCAAAGUGAUACCAAAUAAAUACUUAAAGGACGAAAAGAGCAUUUAAGCUUUUUUUAUCAUCUUCUUCAUCUUCAUCAAAACCUUCAUCAUAUUCAUCAAUUAAAUCCAGAAAAAAACAUAAAAUAAUCGAAAAAAACUAAAAAAAUAAAUAUCAAAUCAGCAUAUCCUUCAAUCUUUCCUCUUCUGCGUUGAAUCUCAAACUUAAAACCUCAUGCUUUAAAUAAUCCUUUGUUGAAUCUCAAACUCAAAUCUUCUCCUCUUUACAACCAAGAAGAAAAACAGACUUUAUUCACAUAAAAAUUAUUCAAGCAUCUUCAUAAUUGUUUUUCAACGUGUUCAUAAUUAUAAUAAAUUUUUAUCAUUUCUUUAAAUCAUUCCUUCUCAAUUGAUUCACUUCAACCCAAAUCCAUAACCCCUCUUUUAUUCAACCCAAAUUCAUCUUGAUAAACAGGACAUUGAUUCAUUUUCGAGUUCAAUAACUCAUCGUCAACAGUCAUCGUCGCCAUUUCUGGGAGGAUCUAAUAUCCAUUGUCGUUGUACCGCGAGGAUCUACUAUCCACUGUCGUUUUUCUAGAUUCAAGGUUUUGGUGAGAGAGAAAAAUGGAAAUGGUUUUAGGAAACUAUGAAGAAUAAGAUUGAAGAAAUGGUGGAAUUUGAUUAUUGCGCUAAUCACCAUGCUCGUCCAAUUCUUCAUGAUUCGUUGUUCAUUCCUUCACACACAUCAAAUUAUUUAAUUUCCUUUCAACAAUUUAAUUUAGCAUCUUUUUUUGGGAAUUAAAGUUGCUGAUAUAUGAGAUUAGAGAUUGAAUGAUUUUGGGUUCUAAAUUGAAAAAGAUUUUUUUUCUAGGUUGGUGUGUUGUUGAUGAUGAAGAUCAUGAAGAAGAGGAUGAAAGGAGAAGGAAGAAGAGAAAUAGUAUAAACCCUAACGUUUUUUUGAUUUUUUUUAACAGAAGGGACCAAAACAGGUAACGGAGAUAAAUAUAAAGUACUCAAACAAUCUUUUUUUUAGUUAAGGGACCAAAGCAAUAUCAAAUAAAUACUUAAGGGACCAAGAGAGCAUUUAAGCCUUAAUUUAACAUGCUUGCAUCAUAUGCUGACCGAGAUGUACUGUUUGCUAUAUAGUGAGUAUAUUCUCUAAUAAACUCGAGAAUUUAUGUAUAUGAGUACUACAUGAACGAUAUUAUAACCUGCAAAAAUUAACACAAGAACAAUAUGCAAUGAACGAUGUUAUACAUUUAAUUUAACUGUGCUUGAGAUGGGCAUGCAAAUUAAUAUAUUUGUAUUAUGAAUUGGGUGUUUAAUGUUUGAGGCUCGUUGAAUCCUUUAUCUAUAUAUUUAUAAUAGGCGUUGUUCGUGUGGUACAAUUGACAGAUAAUUGAGUCUCUUAAGUAUACGGUCAUGAUGACAGAUAAUUGAGUCUUUUAAGUAUGUCGUCGUGAUUUUGAUUUCUAUCUCAUACGUGUGGAAUAACACGUAGGGGUUAAAGAAAAUAUUGAAAUUUGAUUUGUUAUCAACACAUAUAAAAAAUACUUCAUUUUGUUUUAUUCUUGUAGCCUUAAAACAUAUUAUCCUUUACAAAUUUGCUAUAGUAGAGACAGAACAAAAAGAUAAGUAUAUUAUAUAGUUAUGGGAAGAACAUGAUAGGCUAGUCCACUAACCAGCCUGACUUGUGUGGUUAUUCCGUUUUGCUCUUUUCAAAAUUGCCAAAUGCAGACUCCACAACCUCAAAAGAAAACCCAAUGUCUAUGAGGUAUAUUUGUCGGUUCCCACUUCUAAACCCAUUAUAAAAUUUGGUAAUAUUCAUAUAAAAACUUACCACAUUCUCCACUAUACAACUUGUUAUUAUAUAUAGUAACACAACCUUUCUUAUUCUGCAUGUAUUUCAUUCCAUCCAGUUCCAUUACCUUAUAACUCAAUUGCAACUUGUGUGUUCUAUAGUGUACUAGUGCUCCUAGUCACUUGAACAUAGAAAGUAGAAUCUCCUUUGGUUUUUCUUUCAACUUCCUCAAACUAAAGGUUACUAUUUGUGACUUUAUUCCUUUCAUCUAGUUGUUUUUACACUUGACACUCACUAAGCCAAUUAAUUUGUAUCUCAUAUUUUUCCUAAUUUUUAGUAGAAACUAUAUUUAAAAUGAAGCACUCUCCUAUUUUAACACUAUUAUUCUCUUUAUAUUUUCUUACUUCAUUUCUUUCUAUCCAAGCUAGACACCAUUUCCAUACAAAACACAAGCAUUACUCACAUUCUCAUAAUUCAUCAUCUGAAAUUUCACUUCCUCCUGCUCCACUACCUUCACCAACUAGUAGUGCUCCUGAAGAAGCUCCUAGUGCUAGUGCUAGUCCUAGCCCUAGCCCUGAAGUAGCAUCUGGCUUAUUGGAUGUAAGAAAAUUUGGUGCCAUUGGAGAUGGAAUAACUGAUGAUACUGAGUCAUUUAAAAUGGCAUGGGACACUGCUUGUCAAAGUGAAUUAGAUCUUAAUGUUAUAUUUGUUCCUCCUGGUUUCUCCUUCAUUGUUCAAUCUACUAUUUUCACUGGUCCUUGUAAAGGUGGUUUGGUAUUAAAGGUAAUGUACCUGCAAUUUUUAGUUACAUAAUUACUUAGGCAAAACUACACGAGUUGCUUUAAUUUAAUUUAAUUUAAUUAAAGUUUCAAUUCCUUUUUCUUUCUUUUUUUUCAUGUCAAAUAAGUCAUUUAUCUUUAAAAAAAAUAUUAACAUUGUUGAACUAACUUUCAUUCUUAGUGUACUUUUUGUUACAAAUUUGUGUACAAGAUCAUUGCAUGAUGGAGUAUAUUAUAAAGAAUGCUUUAUCACUUAGCACCACACCACACCACAAUUAGACCCUCUUCGUUGGCAACAAUGAUUUCACAAUCUCAGUUAAAAAGUUACAAACUAAGAAAGAUCAUGUCAAUUUUGUUGAAUUAAAUAUUUUAACAACCAUUAUAAUGUAACUUAGAUAUUCUCUUUGAAGAAUUGUAACAACCUUAAGUAGUUUUUUGGUAGCUUAUAUACAUAGAUGAAAAAUAAAGUUUGGUCCUACAUUGUGAACAUUUUUAAACAUAAAGUACUAACUUAACAUACAAAAAAAUACUAAUUUAACACAGAAAAUAUAAAAUGUAUGCUUGAAACUUUAAAUUAAGUCAAAGAAAACUGUACUUAAUUAAGGUUAAGGUUCAGUAACUGAUGACUUUGCUGGUGUACAUGGAGAAGGUUGAUGGAACUAUUAUGACACCUGAUGGACCUGAAUCAUGGCUAAAAAACAACAGUAGGCGUCAAUGGUUGGUCUUUUAUAGAGUCAAUGGCAUGUCACUUGAAGGAAGUGGUACAAUUGAUGGCAGAGGACAAAAAUGGUGGGACCUCCCUUGUAAGCCUCAUAAGGUAUUGAUAUAUAUAAGUAGAAAUUUUAAGUAAAAAAUUUAAAUUAAAUGUUGAUGCUUCAAACUUUAGUUGAUCUCUAACAAUAAUUUCCAUAGGGGCCUAAUGGAACAACAUUACCAGGACCUUGUGACAGCCCAGUUGUAAGUAUUAAAAACCUAUCUUGUGUAUUUUAUACAAUAUACAUCUUCUGUUUGUGUAAAUGCAUUAUGGUUAACAAAAAAUAUUUGUAUAUUGCAGGCUAUAAGGUUUUUUAUGAGUUCAAAUUUGACUGUACAAGGACUUAGGAUAAAAAACAGUCCUCAAUUCCAUUUCAGAUUUGAUGGCUGCCAAAGUGUGCAUGUGGAAUCAAUUUUCAUAACAGCUCCAGCACUUAGCCCCAACACUGAUGGAAUACACAUAGAAAAUACCAAUGAUGUGAAAAUAUAUAAUUCCGUAGUUUCCAAUGGUUAGUCACUAAAUAAUCAAUCCCCUAGCUCCUUUUACCUGUUGCAGCAUCCAAAGGAAUUAACAAAAAUACUUUUUCAUGAAUUUUCCUUUUAUAGGUGAUGACUGUGUUUCCAUUGGGUCUGGUUGCUAUGAUGUUGAUAUAAAAAAUAUCACAUGUGGACCAGGUCAUGGCAUUAGGUAAAUUAUUCUCUCCUUUUUUUUCUUCAUGAAAAGUUACAUUUAAUAGUAUGGAUAUGAGUUGAGUGCGGUCACAACCCCGUGGCCGCAUGCAGUCAAGCUCAAUAUUUUAGAUUUCAAAGAAUAUGCGUUGAAAUCUGGAAUAUUUGAUCUUGAUCAAACGAUCUAGAUGUGGUUGACUGCACUCACACCACGUAGAAUCCAAAUUUUCAAUUAAUAAGCUUUAUACUUUAUAUAUUGUUGUAAUGGUACAUGAUUUAAUGUUAUUUCAAACAAAACAAAAAAUCUAAUGUUAUUUUUAUUGUAUUUUAUUCAGCAUUGGUAGUUUGGGAAACCACAACUCAAGAGCAUGUGUAUCAAACAUAACAGUGAGGGACUCAGUUAUAAGGGUAUCAGAUAAUGGGGUAAGAAUCAAGACAUGGCAAGGUGGAUCAGGAUCAGUAUCAGGAGUAACAUUCAGUAAUAUUCACAUGGAUACAGUAAAAAAUCCUAUUAUAAUUGACCAAUUUUACUGCCUCAGUAAAGAUUGCAGCAACAAAACCUCUGCAGUAUUUGUAUCAGAUAUAGUUUACACAAGCAUAAAGGGAACUUAUGAUAUAAGACACCCUCCUAUGCAUUUUGCAUGCAGUGACUCAAUCCCUUGCACCAACUUGACUCUCUCAGAUAUUGAGCUUCUUCCUUCUCAAGGAGAUAUGUUGAAUGAUCCUUUUUGUUGGAAUGCUUAUGGAAAUUCAGAGACAUUAACCAUUCCUCCAGUAUUUUGCUUGUUGGAUGGUAUUCCUCAGUCUAUUCCAGCCAAUGAUAUUGAUCAUUGCUGACCCUUUAAAUUCUAUAAAGUAAAAAUGUGUGUGUAUAUAUAAUUUACUAGUGAAUUAAUUAAGGAAUAUAAAUAAAUAAUAUAUAUGGUCAUGAGACUCAUGACUCAUGAGUCUUUUGGUGUGAUUGCUGAGGAGUUGUGUUUUAGAUGCUCCUCCCCAAUUGAUAACUAUGUAUUGUAUAUUUUCAAUUUGAAAUGGAAGUUUGGUUUGGAUUUGUUGCUUGAAUUUGUGACUAAAUAAAUCUUGAUCCACUAUUGCUAUUAGUGUCACUUAUGGACCAUGGCUAUACAUUGUUGUAUAAUGUUGAUGUAUAAAACUGUUUUAAUUGAAAGGUGCGUUUGGUUUGCAAAACAGCAAGUACAGUACAAAACAGUACAAGAAAGAACAACACAAUAUAAGGGAGAACAACACAGGACAAAUUUUUAUGACAUUGAAUAAUUUUUUGUUUUAUACGAUUUUUGAGGGACAAAAUGUUAUUUUGAUAUUUUAGACAACUUGUACGUGGGACAAAAAGUUGUGCUGUGGUUUGCUGAGGGACAAAAAUACCAGUUUAUCCUGUCCUUGAAACAGUUUUACAAAUCAAACACUGGACAACUGGAGUUGUUCUGUCUUGUCCUUCAUUUUUUAGCAAAUCAAACGCAUCCAAAAUGCUGAUAUAAUUUGAAACUCUUAGGAGAUAUCAUUCAAAUAGAGUGACAUUGCUAUACUCUGUAUCGCUGCUAUAUGUUUCCAUAUUUACAUUAGAUUUUUCAUUGUUUCUAUAGGAUUUAUAGAAUUAUACAUAUAAAAAAAGUAAUGAAUGGAUGGAUGGAUGGAUAAGAGAUGUAUAACAUUAGUCAAAUAUAUCAUGCAGUCCUUUAAAUUAGAUACUUGUAACAAAUUAAUUUUAUUUUUUAAAGGAACAAAUUAGUCUUUUAUAACCUUUUAAACACAUUUCUUAAAAGAUGAAUGUUAGUAACACACAUUUUAACACAUAUUUUUCAACACACUCUCUUUGAUUGGUUACAAUUCACAUAGGUCCCACCAAAUCAUAUGGGUCCUAUAUAAAUUUGGUGGGUCCCAUGUGAAUUUUAACCAAUUAAAAAGAGUAUGUUGAAAAAUGCGUGUUGCUAGCAUUUCUCUCGUUAAAAAAAGUGACAUGUUCGCUAUUCACACUACAUGAUAGGAAAUGUAUGUUUAGUCCAUCCUACAACACAAACAUGAAAUCCUAUGAUUGGUCGAAAUUUACUGAAACUUUGUCUACAUUCAUCAAGUCGCAUAAAUCCUUUAAAAGACGAGGAACACACAUGUAAUAAAUAAAAGGAAAAUGCUAACAAAUGCUCUUACGCAUCCUAAAACAGUAACUUUUACAUAUGAAAUUGUGAGGUUAUGACUUUUACAUGUGUUUUAAUUUUGGGUUCCUUAAAUAAUAUCCUUAAGACACUUGUUAGCAAGACCCUAAGGAAAUAAAGGAAAAGACAAUGAGAGAUGAAAAAAAAAAAAUUGGAUGUGCAAAAGGAAAUAAAAUAGGAUGCCAUUUUUUUAAGGUUAUAAAAGACUAUCCCAAUACACUAUCAAAAAAUUUACUACACCUCACAUUUUACUAUAUAACUCAUAGAAUUGAAUUGGAGUAAUCCCUCCCUCCCAUACUAACUGAGUCAUUUUUAAUAAAAAAAAAGUGUCUCAAAAUAAUUGAGUCAUUUUAUUUUUUAAUACAAUAUUAAUUAUUUUUUUCUUUUUAUAACUCUAAUUAAUACUACUUUCAUCAUUCCUAAUUCAAUAUAUUCAAUUUUGCAUUUAUGAUAGUAGAGAAUGCACCGGUACUUAACAAAAACAUUAAAACCUUUUUUUCUCUCUCCUUUAUUUAUACACUUUUCUUAACAGGUGUGAAAAUGAGUAAAUGGUUCGGUUAAUCUAAAAUGGAGGGAGUAUAAUUUAUUGAAGUCCAGGGUCACCUAUGUGUAUAUCCGCCCGUGUGGACAUCAACAAAGUAACAAUUGUCUUCCAAUUUCCUUCAAAAAAAAAAAAUUGUCUUCCAAUUAUUCAUGAUAAGUUAAUAAAUGGUUAAUGACGGCUAACUUUCAGUUACCAAAUUCAUACACAAUCCAAAAUUAGGGAAUAAAUAUGUCUUAAAUUAAAGGAAUAUUAAUUGGUGAUGACUGAAAUAUGUAAACAAACCCAAUGGAGAAUCUAGAAAGCAACACAAAAAGGAAAUGAUGAUUACCUAAUUAUCGACGAGCGUGAGCGUUUGAAGAGAAUUUGUGAUCUAUAACCUUCACUUCUAAUUGGAUUCUGAAGUGGAAGGAGUGCCAAAUACCCUUUUGGUUUAUUAAAUUUUGCAUGCGUGGUGACAACUCUAAUCAUGUUUCACACGGUGUCCGUCUACUAUAUUUUACUCCCUCCGUCCUAAAUUGUAUGUCAUUUUAUAAAAAAUAUUUGUCUCAAAUUGUAUGUCACUUUACAAUAUCAAUGAAACAUUAAUGUUACUUUUCUUAUUAUAUCCUUAACUAUUUAUUACUCUUUCUUCUUUCAAUUAUUUUACUUAUUUUUCCCAUAUCAUUUAUUAAGGAUAAUUUUGUAAAACAACUCAUAAUAUUCUUUCCCAUACAAUAUUAAUUACAUUUCUUAAUAUGUGUAAAAUGCCUAAAACGUCGUACAAUUUAGGACGGAGAGAGUAUAACGCAACACUCACUUGUGCACUAUGUAAUUUAUUUCUUUUCAAGCUUAGUUUUAUAGUUUAUUAUUAUCACUACCGCAAAAUGCAAAACACGAAACAUAGGGGUGGAAACAAAAUUACUAUGCAAUUGCUAGAUCGGGAUUCAAGGAAUCAUUUACUGCUCCACUUGAGCUUCUUCAAGUCAUGUGAGUAAUUAUUUGGUAGCUCAAUGAUGGAUCCUUCUUUCAAAUCUACUCCUUUUUUACUAUUGUUGAUAAGUUAGAAAAUAGGUUAGGUCGAACUAUAUGUUGUUGCACGUCUGACUUUUUAUUUGUUAUAGGCUUGUCUUUAAGUCUCAUCUUUUGAAAGUCAAGUAUAGAUUGUACUUGACAAGAUAAACUUUGGAAUUUAUAGUUUAUAAACUCGUAUUAUCAAAAGAUAGCAAUUUACUUGAUCGCUGAAAAAUAAAAAUAAUUAAUUUUAUUUUGAAAAUUCAAAUUAUUCAUUUUUUAUGAUAAUAUUUAAAGACAUUUUACCCUUAAAAAACAAAACAAUUUAAAUCAAAUUUGGCACUCCUUCAAAUUUGGAAUGACAUUUUUCAAAGCCCGAUACAAUUUAAAUCAAAUUUGCCACUCCUUCAAAUUUUAUAUAGAGACAUUUAAUCCUCAUUGGGGACUAUUUUGAAUCAAAUUUGAAAUGACAUUUUUCAUAUUAAUUUAAUUCUCAAAGACCAAAUAGGUUGUUUGUGAUUUUUCACAAGGAUUAAUUUGAAUCUUUAAUUAGUCUUAUGGUAUAAGGAAGUUGUAAAUUUGUUUAACAAUGAUCAGUUAGGAUCUUUAGCCAAAAUAUUAGGUUGGUGAUAUUUCACAAGGAUCAAUUUGGUGACGAUAUACGUGGUAUAGCACUUAUGUUAAAUUUUUGGCAGUUUAGGAUAAAGUGAAAGGGCAUAUAUGUAGCUCCUAUUGCUACAAUAUAUAUUGAGGAGGGAAGGGGAGAGUGUCGCAUGAAUAUGGGGUGUGGAAGGUUGUCCAUAGCAAAGCUAACAUUAAAAGGAAGCAGAAGGAAUCUAGGCCACCCCAAAGGGCAUCUUGAUUCUCAUCUACCCACUACCAUGUUUGCCCCUGCCCUAAUAUACUAAUAUACUUUAUUUCUCAUGAAUAAAAACAUCUAAAAAAAGAAAACAAAUACUACUUUUUCUAUCCAUUGUGAUGCACGACAAGAUAAAGUAAAUGUUUCACACAUGUACAAUUUUAUUACUAUACCAUUACAACUCUUGAAAUGAAAUGAAAUGAACAUAAAGUUAAAUGUGGGUACCGGGAAGCAAGUUGUAAUAAAAAUCGGUGUGUUAACGUAAGUUCAUAUCAAUGCAAGGCGUGCUUAGUUACUAGCUAGCAAACAUGUUGAUAUGAAAUAUUUGUAAAAAAAAAUAAAAAAUACUUAUGAAAAAAUUUAAAGUUAGGAAAAUAUUCAACGCAUUUGUUUGCAAAGUGUGCUUAAUUACUAACAAGCAAACAUCGUUUAAAGUUUAUGGGGUUAAGUAGUUCAUCUGAUUUGAGUUAAGAAAAUAAAGCGUUGAUAAAGUUAAAUGUACAAUAUAAGUUAUGGUAAGGAAGAAAAAAAUACUACAUGACAAUUAACAUAUUAAUCGUUGUCAUUAAAAAAAAGAUCAAAUAUUUGUAAAAGAAAGAGUAUUAUUUAUGAAACAAUUUAAAACUUGGAAAAUACUCAGCACAUUUGUCUCUAAUGGUGCAUUCUUAAUUUAAACACAUAGUCACAGCAACAACACCACCGAAAGGUGCCAACUAAUUAGCAUAUGCCAAUUUUAGUUUUUAUUUUAUUUUUCUAUUUCAUUUUAUUAUGGGAAAGUACUGUGUUUGGUAACACAAAAAAGUUAGUUUAUAGCUAGUUUGUUGAACUAGCUUAUAAGCUUGUUUUGAUAAAAUGAGAUGUGUUUGGUAAAAAGCUUUUCUCACUAGCUUAUAGCGUUUUUUAAGAAGUUAAUCCAAGUAGCUUUUUAACUUAUAGCUUGUAGCUUUUUAUACUUUCUUCCCAUUUUAACCUUUUCUUAAUUUUAUUUUAUUAUAAUAAAAAAAAACUACCCACUAUCUUCUUAAACUAACUACGUUUACCAUGUAUGGCUUUUUAAAUUUUCUUGUCCAUUUUUUUGUUUUUUUUUUACUUUGCUCAUAAUUCAUAUAAUAUCUAAUUUUAUAUAAAUUUAUAAUAGUGAAGCAAGUUUAGUUAAAUAAAAUUCAUAAAAAUAAAAUAAAAAUUGUUAAAUAAAAAAAUUCGAUUGAAUUCAUAAAUACAUUUAUUAUUUUGGAGAUGAAAAUAAUUUGAAAUAUAUUUAAAUAUUUAAAAAUAAAUGUGUUAAGUAAUAAAAAUUAUAUAUAUGAUAUUAAAAAAAAUUAAACAAGCAUGUCCUUUUAUGUCAUUUUAUAUUUAUAGUCACUUCAACAACUAAUUUUAUCAAACACUUUUAAUUUUAAUCAGCUAACUUUUCAGCUAUAAGCUAUCAGCUAUUAGCCAUCAGCUAUCAACUAGCUUAUAGCUUUUUUUUUACCAAACACACCCUUAGUCUUUAACAUGGUUUGUAACUCCUGAUUUUCGCAAAUUAUCAAAUUUUACUUGAAAUUGUAAAAUAACACUCAACAUUGUCCCUUCAUAAAUUUCUACCUUGUGACAUAUCAAUUAAACAUGUCAUGUUGUAAGAAAGUAAAUUGUUUAUUAUAGAUUAACUUAUAAAAUUUAGGUUAUCUCACCGAUAAAAUUAUUGUUAAGAGUUCCACGUUAGAUAAGUGAUGAAAUGACAAUGUGUUUAUAAGUGGGGGCAAUCAUCAUCUCACAAGCCAAUUUUGUGGGGUUGUGUUAGGCCCAAUCACAAUUUCUAAGAUGGUAUCAGAGCCUCUCCAUGAUCCAUUGGGUCACCUGUUAUCAGGUUUCUGCUAUCGGGUCACCUAUCAUUUAUGUCCAUGAACCAAGCCCAAUAUUGCUGGUCGUGAGUGGGUGUGUUAAGAGUCCCACAUCGGAUAUGUGAUGGUUUGACAAUGUGUUUAUAAGUGGGGGCAAUCAUCACCUUACAAGUCGGUUUUGUGGGAUUGUGUUAGGCCCAAAACAAGAUUAUUUUGACUAACAAUUUACAAUUACAUAAUGACUGAUAUAUUUGCCGGUUCACAAAAAUUACGUACAAAUUUGGCCAAAACUUAAGUUUGAAGACUAAUUAUUUGCGUACUGUUCUAAUUGCAACCAGGGCCGUCCCCGGGAAGGUGCAAACAGCUCUAUAGAACUGGGCCUCUCCAAUUUUGGGGCCCAAGUUUUUUUUUUAAUAUAUAAUGCAUAAACAAUAUUAAUAUAUACUUGUAGCAUUGUGAAUUUAUCAUUAGGGAAGUUGUGGCCUAGUGGUAAAACAUGUGAGUGUUGUGUUUGUUGACGUUGGUUCAAUUCCUAGUGAUGACAAUUGUUCACAUUUUAUUAUUUUUCUGCAUUACAUUAGUUUUUUUCUCUCUAUUUUACAAAAAAAAAAAAAAAAAUUAGGGGCCAAAUUUUUUAAGAGUUUCGGGCCUCUGAUUUUACAGGGACGGCCCUGAUUGCAACUACUAACUUUCUCGGAAUGCAGACACAGAAAGUUUAAGCUAGAACGUGACUGAUCAACAAUUGUGAAUCUAUUGCGGAGCAAGUAUGUGGAUUCUCUAAUCCUUUUCCACGUUCAGCAAAUUUUUAUUUAACUUUUUAGACAAAUAAGAAAAGAGAGGUUCCAAUUGUGUAGCUUGUGAUUGUGCAUGUCAUUUGCAAUCCUUUAUGGAAGAUAGAUAGCGAUUAAAGUGUGUUUAAGUUGAUAUUGUACCGAAUGCCUUAUUUAAUAAAAUUACUAUUUUCAAAAUAAAAGAAAUAAAGUGGUGGUUUUAGACUCUAAUUGGUUUAUAAUUAGGUUUAGAUUAAGUAUAGUGGACUGAUUACUUUUUCCCUAUGAUUUGUAAUACAAUUAUAUUAGUGCAAUUGAAGCAUACAUUAUUACAAGUCAUGAGUUUACAUGUUAUAUUAAAACACGCCUAAUGAAGAGGUGUAAUAUUUCCCUCAUUUGCUGAAUUAAGAUCCACUCCUGUAUCGAUUAAAUACUUCACAAAAUCAAUAUGUCCAUUUGUUGUAGCCAUAUGAAGAGUCGUUCUUCCUUGAGCAUUGUUGAAAUUAGGAGUGGGAAUAGGCCAGGCCGCUCGUCAGGGGCCUAUGGUUUGGCCUACUAAAAGCCCGGUCCGGCCUAGCUCGUUUAAUAAAUGAGUCAAGCUUGAGCUUUUUAAAAAGCCUAUUAAUUUAAUUAGGUCGGGUUUAAGCUUAUAAAAAAAUAAUUUUGAAUUUUACUGGCAUAAUUAAACCCUCAAUAAUGCAAAAAAUCCCUCAAUACUACGCAUUACUGACAGAUUGGUGUCCCUCAGUAAUAUUGGCGUAGUAAUGUUACUGGCAGAAUUUUGCCUCAAUAAUGGAGAGGUAAUACUAACAAAGCAUUACUGAGUGAUUAUUCCUUCAGUAAUUAUUACUGACGGAUUUAUCAGCCAGUAAUGUUUUUGCAUAUCUGUAUUAGUGACAGAAUACUCCACCAGUAAUGCACUUUCUACCCUUUUUAGUUAGUGUAGUUUGGUGUGCAAACUUAUUGAAGUCUAAGUAUUUGCUCUUCCUCUAAAAGAGCUCAAAUUAAUUCAAAUUGUUUGUAAAAUGUUUAUCUGGUCUAGUAGAUCUGAUGAUUCCAAAAGAGCUCGUGUUGUUUGGGAGUAUAUUCAUUUACAUAAGACAGGUGAUGGGUGGAAUGUCAUUGAUUUGAAAUACUUGAACCAAGUUGCUCUGAGUAAACAAUUCUAGAACUUGGCUAACAAGAAGGAUAUUUUUGGUUUAAAUGCAUUCAUGAAUACUACAUAAAAGGGAGAAAUAUGUUGUCUAUCGAAGUUCCUCCACAAGCUUCAUGAAUAGUAAAAAAUGUCUUUGAUGCAACUAAGAAUUUUGCCAGUGCCUAUGAUAAUGUUCUUCAAACAACCAAACUUUUCUAUUAAGAAAAUAAAUAAUAUCUGAAGAGUUGAGUUUGCAAAAGUUAAUUGGAGGAAAAUGAUUUGCAACAACCAUGUCCCUCCAAAAUGUUUGUUUGUUAAUUGGUUCGCUAUUCAUGCAAGAUUGCAAACUUGUGACAGGUUGAAUAUAGUUGGUAUAUAAUGAGACCAAUUGUAUGUUUUGGGUAAAAAGGAGAAUGAAACUCAUUCUUACCUUUUCUUCAAGUGUGAGUAUUCUGAUGUUGUUUGGACAUGUAUCAUGCAAUAGAGUAACAUAAGCAUUAAUACUAGCAAUUGGCAGUUAGUGAUGUAAUGUCUCCUGAGACAAUACAACAAGAACAUGUGUAUUCAUCAAUUAAGUAGAAUGGUUGUGAGUGUGAAUCAAUAUUGAUAUGGAAUGAGAGAAAUAAUAUAAGGUCUUAGAACUUGCACCAGUCAGUACAUGAGCUCUUUAGCCAAAUAAAAAUGAUUGUCUACAUAUUAGAGGGUUUCAAUAUAAGAAUUUAAAGAACCUAGCGUUAGAGGGUUGCAUAGUUACAUUAGGUGUAGUAUUUAAGCAUAUGUGUUUAUUGAAUUUACUAUUAUUGAUGUUCAUUAUUUUAUGUGUGUUUAAAUGUAGUACAUUAUACAUUUAGUCUUGUAGUAUAUGCAAGAGUAACUUCGAUAAAAGUUUAAGGGUCAGUUUGUUUCCCAUGAAAGUAUAAGGAAAGAUUAAGUAAGGAUGGAAAGUAGUAGGAUUUAUAAUCCUUCUAUCGUUUGGAGUAACCUUAAAAAGGGGAGAAUGGAUUCUGACAGUUGGGUCCCACAACCAAAUUGUCUCCUGAUAAGUGCUAGGAAGUAUUAUUUUAAAUGUUUAUUUACUACACGUUUGUUACUUGUUUCACAAGUUAUCUAGGGAAAAGCCGAGAAAAAAGUGAAUUUUGACCUAUUACGUUGUAGUCAUCUUACUCUACCCAUUUGUGCAGGAAUUGAGUGCCAAAACAUCAAGCAAGAGCCAAAAACAACAAAAAGGAGAAAAGGUCAGCUCGCCAUGGCGAGCCAAAGGCGACCCAAAUGACGAGCAACUCCAGAGAGUUCCAGGCUCCUUCACCACAGAGAUGGCCAUGGCGAACAGUUCCAUAAAGUUGGAAAAUCAGGACAAGAGCAUUUCGCCAUGGCGAGACAAAGUCCUGCCAGGCGAAAUAAGGCGGUUUCAUUUGAUCCUUGUGACGUGGCAGAAACCCACUGGCAAAGAAAGCUCAAGUCGCCAGGCGAGACAAACUUCGCCAGGCGAAAUGUUACUUUUUCAGCAUAUGUAUAAAAGCUCAUUUCCCUCAUUUCAGACAAUAUCAUAUAGGGUUGGGAAUAGGCCAGGCCGGCCUACAGGGGCCUACGGCCUGGCCUGGCCUGGACUGUUUAGUAGAUAGGCCUAGGCCUAGGCUUUUUAGAAAGCCUGUUUAGUUAAAUAGGCCAAGUUUAGGCUUCAAAAAAAGACUGUUAAGCCUAAUAGGCCGGCCUAUUAAUACUUAUUUAUUAAAAAAUAAUUUUUUAUAUUAAAAUAAUUGCAUAUAUUAAAAAUAUAAACAUCUUUUUCUCUAUCUAUUAGUCCCUUAAUAGGCUUUGUUGUUAUAGGCUUUUAUGUAGGCUUUAAUCUAGUUGAAAUUUACUUGUAGUGAAAUAGGCUUUUAAGUAGGCUUUAAGACAUGUUUAACCUAUUUAGUAGGCCAAAUGAACUAUUUGAUGGCCUUAAUGUGAAGUAGGCCUGUAAGUAGGCUUUCAGGCCAGUCCAGGCUUUUAAAUAGGUCAGGCCAGGCCUAGAAAAACGGCCUAUGAUAGGCCAUAGGCCAGGCUCAGGCUUGUGAUUUAUUUCGAAGGCCAGGCUCAGGCCUAUCAAAACCUGGCCUGGUUUGGCCUAUUCCCACCCCUACAUAUAAAAUUUUAGAGAGAGAAUAGGGCAAAAAUACCCUGUUUACAUUGGGCAAUAAUGAUUGAGUGUGGAUUCAUCAAGAUUCUUGGAGAAAUCAAGUUCCUUUCAUGGAUUCUCAACUUUCCUUCCACUUUUGUAAAGUUCUCAUGACAAUGAUGAACUAAAUCUCCUUAGUUGAGAUUAGAGGUACUUGAUUGAGCUUAGAAUGUAAUCUUUUAAUCUUAUAAUAUAUGAUUCUAGCAAUUUACAUGAUAUUGAAGUUAUUCUUGCAAUUCAUUUCCAUCUUUGAUUUAAUUGUUAUUGAAAAGUACUUUUGAAUCUAGGUUUAGAAUAAUUCAUCUAUCAAAACAAUAAUUCUAGACAUAGGAUUGAUGUUUUGAUAAUCACACAAGGUAUCGGUACAUAAAGCUUUCGGAUCGUUGAAUAGAUUGAGAAAUCGUCAAUUAAACGAUACGAUCGACAAUUGGAUUGUUUAAUAGUUUGGGAAAUCAACUAUUGAACAAUACAAUUGAUCUCAGGACACUAAUAAUCUUGUUGAGCGAUACGUGAUAAUAUCGGUAAAACGCUAGAAUCCAUAUAUGUGAUUAUCAGGUUAUGUUUGACGCUUAAUCAAGGAACUCUAAUUCCAAUGUUUUUACGCCUUAUUACUCUCAACUUUUACUCUUGCAACUUAGUUUCUAAAACGAACAACAAAUUAUCUUUCAAACUUAGAAUGAUAUUUGGUGUCGAACGGUCGGUGAUAUCGCACUAGUCCCUGAGGAGACGAUAUAAAUACUUACUAUUGUUUGAUGCAAAAAUACUACAUUAUUUUCGCGCUGUGAUGGACGGAAAGAACGAAGAAACCACUAUUUUAACUGAAAUUACAUAAAUGCCCUCAAUCUCUUAUACGUCAAAGUUGAAAAGCAAUAUGCUCCAUAUUUUAUUUUUUUGGCUCUCUAAUGCAAAUCCAUGAUUAUAAAAAAAAAAAAAAAAAAAAAUCGCAAAUGCAUUUCAACGUAGACAUUGAACUAUAUUAGAAUAGAAAAAAUGGAAAUAAAAUUCUUACAUUUAAUUGCAUUUGUAUAUUAAAAAAAAGUGUGGUUUAUUGAAUUAAUAUAUAUAUCAUUUUUAUGUAAGGACAAUAAUGUCAAUUAACUACACAUAAUUUUUUCUUUCCAUUCACUUUCACUCAUACCAAACACACAAAUAAUCAUUUCACUUUCUUCUUACUUUCUUUCCUUUAACAAUCUUUCCUCUCACUUUCUUUUGUGAUCCAAACAAAGCCUAAGGGUGCGUUUGAUUUGUAAAAGGUAGGAUACUGGACAUAACAGUACUGAACAAGUGACUGAGUCAUAGGACAACUUUUUAUAUUACUGUAAUACCCUUUGUGAUGUACAAUUUGAUUUUUCACUGUGUAAAAACACAACAAAAUUUUAAAACUAUUUUAUUUAUUUUUCUAAUAGUAUAAAAAUUAAAUUUGAUAAAGAUGUUUAUUUAUAUAUAUAUUGUCAACUACAUGGUAUUUUUUUUAAGGAAUCAACUACAUCGUAUUAUAUAAUAGCUUUUAGCAAAAAAAAGUGUGACAUCAUAAUAAUCAUCAUAUAUAACACACACGCAGAGCAGAGAAGAAAAAACAAAAACAAAAUAGAAAAAAAAUUGAAAAAUGACUAAUUGAAUGAAGAAUUACCUAAAGACGAGAGUUUUGAGGUUUCAAGAAAUAGAAGCAAUGAAGGGAUAAAUUAGUCUUUUUUGUAUAAGUGAACAAGGGACAAUACUUUGUCCACUGGUUUGGCGCGGUACAAAAUAAUAGGUAGUUGUCCAGUGCAUCACUUCUUAUUUUGUGCUGUCCUUUAUACCUUUUUCAAAUCAAACGCUAGACAAAUAUUGUUGUCCUGUCCCGUGCAUCAUUUUUUUACAAAUCAAACGUACUCUAAGAGUGUGUUUGAUGUAGAAGAGAAGUUGUGAAGAGAGAAAUAGGUAAGAGAGAGAAUGAAAAGAGAGAAAAAGAUGAGAAAUAUAGUAGAUUUGUUGUAUUUGUUUGGUAGAAGAGAGAUAUAAAAGAAAUAGAGAAGAAAGAAGUGUUGAUUAUUUUUAAAAGUACCAAAAUACCCCUAAUUAAUAAACAUUCAAUGAAAACUUAAUUUAUUAAAUAACUUAAUUCAAUUUUUAAUAUAAAUUAUUGAUGACAAUGAUGAUGAUUUUUUUGACAAACGAUGAAGAUUAUUAUUAAAAAUUAAUUAUUUCAUCAAUUUGUAACUUCAUUCAAAUGGAAAAUACUUGGGUGACAUGGAGUUGGGUGAUAUUGGCCAAUCACAAUGUCACAAUGCUUGUGAAAGAGAGAAACACAAGCAUUGUGACAUUAUGAUUGGCCAAUAUCACCCAACUCUAUGUCACCCAAUCGCUACACUAUUCAAAUAAAUUAGAACUCACUAUUUUAUUCUUAUUGAAAAUCAUCCGUUUAAUAACAAAAAUGGAAAAGAGUGAAGGAAUAAAUAAAUUUAAAAAACAGCAUAAUUAUCCUUUGGCCUUCUCCUCCAUAUACGGCAUUCAUAGCCUUAUAACUUCCAGCAGGGUAACUUCUCCUUCAUAUAUGCAGCUUAAUUUCAUGUGUGUGAGAGAGUUUUUCUAUUUUGCUUCCUCAUCCUUCAUCUACCACCGGCAAAUCAUACCUUCAACUUGUCUCCUAAAACUUCCCUUUGUUUUAUGCUUCAUAUUGAAUAAUCAUUGUUGCAAUUUGCAGAAAGAUAAUAAAUCAUAAAUAAAAUUUCAAUAAAGGGUAAAAAUGGAACAACAAAAUUAAGCCAUCCCUCUCUCCCGUCUCUUCGCUGUUCAGGCGGAGAAAACAAAAAGCAGUGGGUCCCACAAAUUUUUAGUCUCUCUUCUCUCUUUCUCUGCAUUCCAAAUAGGAGAAAGUGACCAACUCUUUUCUAUUUCUCUCUUCUCUAUCUCUCUUUCUUAUUUCUCUUCAACCAAACAGAAUGUAAGAGUUUCUGUUCACACUAUUACUUUUCUAUUGACUUGGGUAAAGUGAAAUUCCAAGUCAAGCCUUUUUGUUUUUUCAUAGAACUGUAUAUAUGAAAAUGCCAACAAACUUUUUUGGAGCACCAGUCCGAAAAAAUAAAUAUACUAAAGAUAUAUUAAAACGUGUCUAAUCAAACUUUUAAGAAAGUAAAAAAUAUUUUUUCAAUGCAAGUUUUAUUUUAUUUUUUGGAUCAUGCUGAGAAAUGUCUAAAACAUUGUUUAAAGAAUUUAUUUCUUAUUAUAAAAAUAAAUAUAAAUCAAACAUAUAUAAAAAUAAUAAUUACACAAUUUUUUUCACAAAAAUUAAACUGAAUCAAGGGUAUUUGAUUAAAGUAAAGAAUGUUACUAGAGACUCAGACUAGUUAGCAUGAUGACCCUUUCUUUCAAAAAAGCAUGAUGACUAUAUAUAAGAAUGAAAAGCAGGAUGAUAUAGUUGAUGCGUAAUGAUGCGACGUCAGCACAUAGGUGCAAUGACGAAACAGAUUUAUAUUCCAUUACCUAAUCGCGUCAUUCAAUUUUGUUUUUUCCUCUCGUCCACUGCUUUAGAAUUCGAAUCGAAUUACUAGUUCAGUUUAGUGUUUUGUGUGACUAACUUCACAACAAGAUUAACAUAGAUAUAAGUAUAAUAUUUUGCUCAAAAAUUACCUAUUGAAUUUUUAUUUUUUUUGACACACACGAGACAUCUAAUUACCAAAUUAUAUUUAUACUUUAUAAAGUGUAGUUAGACCUCUUAAGACAAUACCACAAAACCGACUUAUAAAGUGAAGAUUGUCUUUCCUAAAAUUCUUUAACUUAUGCAACCAAACUCCCUUGAAAUUUAAUGUUUUUUUUCGAUCAAAACAUAAAUUAAAUGAUAAUUUAUUGUAUAUUUUAAUUACGCUAAUAAAGGUAUGUAACUCCUUUUUUUUUUUUUAAGGGAAAAGGUGUGUAACUCUACCUCUAAUAUAUUGUAAUGAUAAGCCGCACAAUUUUAUAUAUAUUUUUGAGUUAUUAUAGUAUGUUAUAUGUAUGAAAUUUCUACCGCACUUACCAACUCUGUUGGAGAAUCUGUUGAGCAUGUUAGGUCAGUUCUAUCUGCUUAACCGAAUUUUUACACUCAUAUUUUUAUGCAUUUCUUUUAUUUUUAGUACACGUUUCAUCUAAUUUUUCUCUUUUAACUAUCUUCACAUUUCUGUUUGUAUAUAAUAGUGUCAGUGUAACUACGGCUCUGAUUGGGAAACCCCAAAAAAAGCUUUUAGCUUUUAACUUAUAGUUUAUAAGCUCGUUUGACAAAAAAAGCUCUGUUUGGUAACACUUUUUCACCAUGAGCUUAUAGCUUAUUUCACGAACUUAUAAGCUAUUUUUCAGAAGCUAUUUCAAGUAGCGUUUGAGCUUAUAGCUUAUAGCUUCUCACUUUUUCUUCCAAUUUUACCUUAUUAUUUCAUUUAAAUUGUAUUUUUAUCCAUUAUAAUUUUUAUAAUAAGUUACGUAAUAAAGACUACUAUCCCUUUAUUCCAAUUUUUGUAUAUAUAGCAGCUGGCCUUUUUUUUUUUUUUUUGAAAAAAUAUAUACCUUCGUUUUUUUUUUUUACGAAACAAAAUACUAUUACUCUAUUAGUGCUACCUUUUUUUUUGUUUUUGAGGUAAAUGUUAUUUUCUUUAUAAAGUGGAAACACUUAACUGAUAAUAAAUAUAAGAUAAAAUUUUAGUGAAUAAAAUUUAAUUUAAUUUAUAAUACAUAGGAUAUAUUAAAUUAAUAAAUUUAAAGUAUUUUUUGAAAGAAAAAUUAGUUUACAAAAUUACAAAUACGUAAAUUAAUGAUAUAAUUUUUAUUAUGAAUUAAGAAUACCUUUUAUGUCAUUUUACAUUUAUCAGCUAGUUGAACCGCUAUUUUUACCAAACACUUCAGUUAGCUUAUCAGCUAAAAGCUAUCAGCUAACUUAUCAGUUAUCCGCUAUUUUUACCAAAGAGAGCCUAAAAAAAUAGUGUCUGCAAUAAUUAGCGUUUUAGACUAUUCAAUCAUUAUACCUUUUUGUUUUUCUUAACGUGCCUCUCUAUUUCAAAGAAGCUAGGCAUAAAAAAAUGUACGUGUUUGCAAGACUUACAUAUUGACUUGUUGUCCGAUCCAACAAAAGUAUUUGUGUGGCAUAUUGGUCAUUUAGUUAGAUUCCUUUAACUUAAUUAAUUAAUGACAAUGGCCAAAACUUGUCAUGAUGAAACGCCAUGAAUUAUGUCCUUAUAUUCAUCACAAAGUUUAGAAACAACGAAGAAGCAACCAAGAAACUACGUGCUCUUGGUAUCUUCCUUCACACUUCCCUUUAUCAUUUUUAUUUUAUUUUCAAAUAUAUACAUUUUUUUUGUGAACAUGGAGAUCAAUGGCAGCAAGAAGAGGAAAAUUUGCAACGAAGAAUUAGAUGAAGAAAAACAAAAAGAAGAGGAAGAGAAAAUAGAGACGUUUUUUGCUCUAGUGAGAAACAUGCGUGAGACACGUGACCGUUGGAGGAACAAAAUGAGUGAAAAUAUUAAGGAAGAAAAUAGAGUUGUUGGUGUUUGGAAGCCUACGUUUAAACUUGAAGAUUUCGCUGAAGAGGGUGCAUCUAAGAGCAAUAAUAUUAACUGUGCUAAUAUUAUUAAGGAAGAUGACACAGAAAAAGGUAUUAACUUGAAGCUCUCACUUUGAAAUUGUUGCUACAUGCAUCAAGAUAUCGUAGCUUGAUCUUAUGUUGUGUGUUGUAAAUUUGUAAUGGAUCAUUUUCAUGAUUUCUUUCCCUAACUUAUUAGUUGCCAAUAUGAGCAACAAGUAGAUUUAUAGUUUAAUUUAAUCAUAUGAUUUAUAUGUGUGCACUGUGCAGUAUGCUAUUGUAGUACUUUAGCAUCGCAUCCUAUAUAAUUUUCUUCAACUAAUUAACAGUUGUUUAUGCUCUUAGUUCAAAAAAUACUCCUUCAAAAUUCAUAGUUAACGAAGCUAGAGUUGUCACUCCGUCGCAUAUUGAAGUUAUUUAAACAAUUUCAUAUAGAUCAAUACAAGUAGUUAAAUUUGUAUGGUGAAGAGAAAUUAUGAGUAACUUUAUAGAAUUAUCAUUUAUAGUUGGCAUGAAAAAUAAAAAUUAAAGAAUUGAAAAGAAAAAAAGAAACUUUUGAAUUGAUAAUCUGGUAUUUCGUGUGAUAAACUGUGGAGACUAAAUUUUCAAGUUGAUAAGACCACAAUAAAUUACAAAUUCCUCAAAAUAAUUAACACUUUUUUAAUGACAUAUAUAUAAAAGAAAAAGAGAACAAAUGUUCAACACCAACAAUAAAAAGGAACCAAAAAGAUAAAAAAAAAAAAAAAAAAACCUAGCAUCACCAAUAUCAAACAAAAAUACAACACCCUAGAAAAAUACGAAAAGAUAAACACCAACCACAAAGCAACUUAAGAGGGAAAGAACGCCCCUACAAGGCUACAACAAACACCAAGAACCCAACACAAAAGGACAAUGAAUGAAGAAAUUUAACACUAUUGUAUUUUCAGAGCUGAAUUUAACUCAUGACCUCUAGUUAAGUUGGAAGCUUUUACUAUCUCAUCCAAAUAUUUUUGGAAGAAGAUAAACAUUAAGAUUGUAUGAUAUUGUAAAACGACCUAUAAAAUACAACAAUUUGUUUGUUAAAAUGUCAUAUGGUCUGGGAUAGAUGGAGUAAUUACUAUUGGCUUGAUAAACUUUACUGAUAUUAUUAAUCAACAAAUGUUCAAUACAAAUCGGAGAAAUCUAAAAAAUAUGGUGACUAGCAUAAGAAUAUGUCGUCUUAGCUAAGGUAUGAGUAAUCAUAUUCAUUUUUCGCCUAAUAAACUUCACCUUGAAGUUGGAAUGUAAAGCUACCUUAUAAAUAAUAUUAGAAACAAUAACAAAAAAUUCAGAAGUUCCAUGAUGCUUGUCUUUUAGAGAUGCCACCAACGUAAAUCACACACGUUCACAAUCAUGCCAUUUAGUACAAGUGAAGCGAAUUGUUUCAAGAAGAGUUGAAGCCUCGCCUUCAAACACCAACAUAUGACCAUGUCCCUGUUGCGUCUGAGCCGUCAUGGAUCGACCAUCCAAAUCACAAACACAGCAUCCAAAAAAAAGUGGACUUGUAUGCCGGUUGGAAAGCUACAUCCACAUUGCACUUAAAUCCACAUGCUGGUAUUUCCCAUGCUACGUUGCGCUGCUCGCUAGUUAACCCUCCCAUUGAGUGGAAUGUUGGUCUGAACCCUCACAUCAUUUCAUUCCACUGCUUCCACCCAUCUAACGCUUUACGCCCCACAGAUACAGUUUGUUGACGAAUAUCGUUACACACUGCAUCAUUUCUUGCUGCCCAUAACUUCCAAAGAAGCAUUAUGUAGCAUUAGACAAAGGAAAGAGGAAUGCAAUUUGCAAAACAAUAGUCGCGCAUAUGACAAUCAAUGUAGUUGUGCAAAAUUAAGUUCUUUGGCGUUUGAAGAAGAGUUUUCCAUGUCACACUUAUCUACUAUUUGAAGUGCUUUUUACCCAAACUUGCGUUAACCUUGAAGCUAGUAAUGUAGCUUAUGCGUCAUAAUGAAUUGAUUUUAGAUUUAUUGAUGGCUUAUACUUUUUUAUCGUUCUCUUUGAUACCACUACGAUUUACAAAAAAGUUUGUGAUUCUUUGGAAGAAAAUACUCCCUCCGUCCCAAACUGUAUGAUGUUUUAGACAUUUCACUUGUAUUAAGAAAUGUAAUUAAUAUUGUGUGGGAAAUAGAUAUUAUGAGUUGUUUUACAAAAUUAUCCUCAAUAAACGAUAUGAGAAAGAUAAAUAAAGGAAUUGAAAAAAGAAAGAGUAAUAAAUAGUUAAGAAUAUAAUAGGAAAAAUAACAUUAAUAUUUCAUUGGUAUUGUAAAGUGACAUACAAUUUAGGACAAUUUUUUUUUCUCUCUAAAAUGACAUACAAUUUGGGAUGGAGGGAGUAAUACGUUAAUGUUUGUAUUUAUGGUCUUUUAUUUUUUAAAAAUGUUAAUCGGUGUCCAAGAGGUAUUAGUUAAUGAAUUAAGAAGAAGAGUGUUCCUAGCAAGAGAGUGUUCAUAGUAUUUCUCAUGAAUUAAAUAUACUUCCUUCAUCCCUAUAUGUUAAUCAGUGCACCGAUGAAAAGUCAAAUUUUGUAUUGAAAAAAACACUUUUUUAACUUUUUAAAAGUAUAAUUUACAAUUUCCGAGACAAUAUUUCCUUUUAUAAUCCCUUAAUCAGUGUCUCGGUUAACAUUUCCCUUACUUUUUUCACAUUUCUUAAGAAAAGUUGUUAGUGUAAUUAAUGUGUCUAUUUUGUGUGUUAAUAUUAUCAAAUUGUCAUUUGUUUGUAUGUGUAUUAAAUUUGUCUUUGCAUAUUUCAAAACAAGUAAUUUAAUGGCGUAUUGUAUUGUUUAAUGGCGCAUAUUAUUUAAUCCGUUUAAAUUUUUAAUGUGUAUUAAUUUUACUUGUGAUAUACUCCAUCCGUUUUUAAAAUCCGUUUCUACGACAAUUGUAUUGUUUGUAACUUGUGAUAUAUUAUUAUCUCACAAGUAAUUUGUAUGUAGGGAUGUUAUUGUCGUUUGCAAAAUAAUAUUAAUUUUUUCUUCUAUCAUUCUAUCUGUUUCUCUUCUCUUUUUCGUACUAAACCACCUCCCAAAUUUACUCUAUUUUUCUUUAGAAAAUGCUAACCAUUGCUCUUGGGGCAUUGGAUAAAGGAACAUCAAUAAAAAUUUUGUGUUGGAAAAUAAUAAAAAAUUGUCAAGUUAAUUUGUAAAAAAUUUAUAAAUUGUUGUUUCCAAUGUAAAACUAAUAAUUUUGGUUACACGUCAAUGGUUAGCAAGACCCUUUCUCUUUUAUAUCUCUCUUCUUAUUAUUUCUCACAUUUUUCUCUCUUCUUAAUUUCUCUUCACAACCAAACAAAGCCUUAACAAUGUGAUCAUAAUCCUCGUCUAAACAAAAAAAAUAAAAUCAUCCACCUAACCCUUUAAAAGAUAUUCACAUACUCCCUCCGACCUACAUACCAAUGCAUAUUUUUUUAUCUUGAAUAUCUUUAAUUAUCUAUUUGAAAAAAUUAUGAAAAAUUAAUAUUUUAAAAAUAUUAAUCGAGACAAAUUCAAUAUAUUAUAUGAUAUUAUUUAUCUUUAUAUAUUAAUAAAAAAAAUAUGGUCAAAGUAUAAUCAAAUCAACAGUAUACAUCAUCAAACAUAUCAUCUAAUAUGAGACGGAGUAAGUAUUUUUUAGAGGGAAAAAAAAUUCUAAAUCAAUGGCUUUUAAAUCUACCAUAGACAUUUGUUAGUAUGACUUCUAAAAAAAUAAAAAAAAUAUUUUAAUCGUGUAGUCUGCACUCUGGACAGGUUGGAAUUGGGCAUUAUUGAUUGGAGUCAAAAUGAUGACGAACAUUAUAACCAGUCUCACGCAUCCAAGUGUAGCUCAACCUAGUUACGUCAUUACUGUAACGUCACUACUCACCAAUAGCUUGACACCGUCUUCAUUCAUGUACGCGCUCACCUCACUCGUCUUUCUAUAUAUAAUAAUAUAAUCACACUACAGACCUUAAUAAACACGACACGGCAUUACGCAACGUCAAUACCUAACACAGACAUUGAUCAAGCACUAUUUUUUUCUUUUUCAUAUAUGGAAAAAAAGAAGAAUGAAGUAAGGAAUGACCUCAACGACAAGCAGGAAGAAGAAGAAGAAGAGAUGGAAAUAGAGAAGUUUUGCUCGCUGCUAAGAAGCUUCCGUGACGCCCGUGAUCGAUUGCGCCGGAGGGAAUCAGAAUUACAUGAUCAGCUGGAAAAAUACGAGAGCAACAAGAAAAAGAUGAAAACAGAGCCGCCUUGUUUUCAAUUGCAGGACUUUACUACAGAUAUUCAAUUCAGAAAACUACCUUUGAAUUUUCUCAACCCAGUUGCAAAUUACACAAUCGUAGAUAAUAACAAAGUUGAGAAGAAGGAACAUACCCUUGACCUCAAACUUGCUCUUUAAUCUUGCAUUCAUCAUUCAUGAUCGUCUUGUUUUAAUUAAUUACGUUAUUUAUGCUUUUUCUGUCUACCUAGCUAUUCCUUGUACAUAUAAUAUAAUAUAAUAUUCAUGUAUUGAAGAAAUCAUAUAUAUCUUCAUCUAUCAUCUAUGUUAUGUAAUUUCUUAAUUUGUAAGUUUUUUUUUUUUCAAGUAUAUGGUACGAAUGUGAAAUUAAGAGAUUUUCAAACACAGAAAUUAAGAAUAUCGUCAGAUUGAAGCAAGAGGGGCAGAGCCGAAGGAUUCAGAGUCAAACAAUGGAAAACUGAGUUGUAGUUGGUUAGUUACUUGUGACAUAGGCGAAUCUGUAUGGACCUUUGUCAUAUUUAUUACGACAAACCUAUGAAACCCGGAUAUAAGUACAGAUGCGAGUACGAUACGGAUAUGCCAAUAGGCAAAUUUUUUUAAAUUUAGGAUACGUUAACAAAAAUUCUAUAAUAAAACUUAAAUAUAUGUAAAAUACUUGAAGAAAAUAAACAUUGAUUACUCUUCAUAAUUAUCUUAUUAUAAAUGUCACAAUUUUAAAAAAUAAUAAAU